UCCAAGUACUAUGGCGCGAGAGGUGAAAUUCAGUGACCGCUAUAUGACUAUCUAAUGCGAAAGCAGUUGUGAUCCAGAGCGUGUCUGUCAAUCAGGGACGAAAGUUAAGGGAUCGAAGAUGAUUAGAUACCGUCGUAGUCUUAACCGUAAACGAUACCAACACGAGAUUGGUAGUGAGACUUUUAGAUCCUAUCAGAAUCCAAGGGAAACCGUUAAGUUUUUGGGUUCUGGGGGGAGUAUGGUCGCAAGGCUGAAACUUAAAGGAAUUGACGGAAAGGCACCACCAGGAGUGGAGUAUGCGGCUUAAUUCGACUCAACGCGGGGAAACUCACCAAGUUAGGAUGUGAAUAUGAUUGACAGAUUAAGGUUCUUUCUUGAUUUUACAGAAGGUGGUGCAUGGUCGUUCUUAGUUCGUGGAGUGAUUCGUCUUGUUAAUUCAGUUAACGAGCGAGACCUUAACUUGCUAAUUAAGGUACAGGGACUUCUUCGGUUGUCCAUCGUUUCGUUGGGGAAAUGUAUAUUUCCUCAGGAAACCUGUACUGUCACUGUUCGCAGUGAUGCUUCUUAGAGGUACAGCACCCGCUUCAGGGUGAGGAAGUUUAAGGCAAUAACAGAUCUGUGAUGCCCUUAGAUAUCUUGGGCUGCACGCGUACUACAAUAUUAAUAGCAACAAGUAACGUAGAGUCAUCUUUCGGGAUGCAACCCUGGUCCGAAAGGAUUGGGAAAUCUUAUCAAAGAUUAAUGUGACAGGGAUCGAGGUUUGUAAAUCCUCGUGAACGAGGAAUUCCUAGUAAGCAUGAUUCAUCAUGUCGUAUUGGCUUCGUCCCUGCCUUUUGUACACACCGCCCGUCGCUCGUACCGACUGAAUAGAGGUAUGAAUUUGAUGGACCAGCAUUGCUCUAAGCAAUGCGAGAAAAUCAACUGAAUUUCUCUAUUUGUAGGAACGAGAAGUCGUAACAAGGUCCUCGUAGGUGAACCUGCAGAAGGAUC
rnacentral:rRNA from 1 species